rnacentral:rRNA from 1 species
GAUGAACGCUGGCGGCGUGCCUAAUACAUGCAAGUCGAGCGAACAGACGAGGAGCUUGCUCUUCUGACGUUACCGGCGGAUGGGUGAGUCACACGUGGAUUACCUUUCUAUAUGACUUGGCUUCCUUCGGGAAACCGGAGCUAAUAACGGAUAAUCUUUUGAACCGCAUGGUUCAAUAGUGAAAGACGGUUUUGCUGUCACUUCUAGAUGGAUCCGCGCCGCAUUAGCUAGUUGGUAAGGUAACGGCUUACCAAGGCAACGAUGCGUAGCCGACCUGAGAGGGUGAUCGGCCACACUGGAACUGAGACACGGUCCAGACUCCUACGGGAGGCAGCAGUAGGGAAUCUUCCGCAAUGGGCGAAAGCUUGACGGAGCAACGCCGCGUGAGUGAUGAAGGUCUUCGGAUCGGAAAACUCUGUUAUUAGGGAAGAACAAAUGUGUAAGUAACUAUGCACUUCUUGACGGUACCUAAUCAGAAAGCCACGGCUAACUACGUG